AGAUUGAACGCUGGCGGCGUGCCUAACACAUGCAAGUCGAGCGGUAACAGGUGUAGCAAUACAUGCUGACGAGCGGCGAACGGGUGAGUAAUGCUUUGGAAUCUUCCCAGUAGUGGGGAAUAACCAGUCGAAAGAUUGGCUAAUACCGCAUACGUCUGUAAAGGGAAAGCGGGGGCUCGUAAGACCUCGCGCUAUUGGAUGAGCCAAAGUCGGAUUAGCUAGUUGGUGGGUAACGGCCUACCAAGGCGACAAUCCGUAGCUGGUCUGAGAGGACGACCAGCCACACCGGAACUGAGACACGGUCCGGACUCCUACGGGAGGCAGCAGUGGGGGAAUAUUGGACAAUGGGGGAAACCCUGAUCCAGCGACGCCGCGUGUGUGAAGAAGGCCUGCGGGUUGUAAAGCACUUUUAGUGGGGACAAAAGCUACGGAUUAAUACUCUGUGGUCUUGAUUUAACCCAAAGAAAACGCACCGGCUAACUCUGUGCCAGCAGCCGC
rnacentral:rRNA from 1 species